rnacentral:rRNA from 1 species
GAGCCGGUGGCGGGUCUAAUAAUGCAGUCGACGGAGAGUAUUGGCUUCGGUUGAUACUCUUAGUGGCGAACGGGUGAGUAACGCGUUGGUGACCUGCCCCGAAGACAGGGAUAACAGUUCGAAAGGGCUGCUAAUACCUGAUGAUCUCUGCAAGGCUAGAGGCUUGGAGAGGAAAGCAGAAAUGCGCUUUGGGAGGGGCCUGCGUCCCAUCAGCUAGUUGGUAAGGUAAAAGCUUACCAAGGCGAAGACGGGUAGGGGACCUGAGAGGGUGACCCCCCACACUGGCACUGAAACACGGGCCAGACACCUACGGGUGGCAGCAGUAGGGAAUAUUGCACAAUGGGCGAAAGCCUGAUGCAGCAACGCCGCGUGCGCGACGAAGGCCUUCGGGUCGUAAAGCGCUUUUCGGGGAGACGAGGAAGGACGGUAUCCCCGGAAUAAGGCUCGGCUAACUACGUGCCAGCAGCCGCGGUAAAACGUAGGAGCCAAGCGUUAUCCGAAUUCACUGGGCGUAAAGCGCGUGCAGGCGGCCUGAUAAGUUGGAUGUGAAAGCUCCUGGCUCAACUGGGAGAGGACGUUCAAUACUGUCAGGCUAGAGGGCAGCAGAGGGAGGUGGAAUUCCCGGUGUAGUGGUGAAAUGCGUAGAUAUCGGGAGGAACACCAGUGGCGAAGGCGACCUCCUGGGCUGUACCUGACGCUCAGAUGCGAAAGCUAGGGGAGCGAACGGGAUUAGAAACCCCGGUAGUCCUAGCCGUAAACGAUGUGGACUGGGUGUCGGUGGGUUAAAAGCCAUCGGUGCCGAAGCGAACGCGAUAAGUCUACCGCCUGGGGACUACGGCCGCAAGGUUAAAACUCAAAGGAAUUGACGG